rnacentral:rRNA from 1 species
GACGUAGGGCGCGAGCGUUGUCCGGAUUUAUUGGGCGUAAAGAGCUCGUUAGGCGGCUUGUCGCCGUGCGGCUGUGAAAUCCCGUGGCUCAACUGCGGGCUUGCAGGCCGAUACGGGCAGGCUAGAGUUCGGUAGGGGAGACUGGAAUUCCUGGUGUAGCGGUGAAAAUGCGCAGAUAGUCAGGAGGAACACCGGUGGCGAAGGCGGGUCUCUGGGGCCGAUACUGACCGCUGAGGAGCGAAAGCGUGGGGAGCAAACAGG